GGCAUGCAUCAUUCUAAGGAUUGUUAGCUGUAUGGAAAUGCAUAUCAUGCUUUGGUUGUUGUUUGGUAAAUGUAGGUUGUAGUUGUGAUCCUGUUGUAUCGUUGGUACGCCGUGCAAAUACAAAGGAGACUCUGUCCGAGUGGACAGAGGAACUUUGUAUUUGUGGCGGGUCUGUACGUCGCGUGGGCCAGGUUGAAAAAAAAAAAAAAAAUGGCACGUUUUCCGCAACUCUGUUUAAAAAGGCUUUUAAAAUCGGCCCCGGGGCGUGACACUGGACUUUAUAUCAUAUUGUAUCAUGGAAAUAUAAGUAUAAAUACUUAAAAUUUUAUCCGAGCCUAAAUUUGAACG
rnacentral:lncRNA from 1 species